rnacentral:rRNA from 1 species
AUUGAACGCUGGCGGCAGGCCUAACACAUGCAAGUCGAACGAGUGGCGGACGGGUGAGUAAUGUCUGGGAAACUGCCUGAGGGAGGGGGAUAACUACUGGAAACGGUAGCUAAUACCGCAUACCAUCGGAUGUGCCCAGAUGGGAUUAGCUAGUAGGUGGGGUAAAGGCUCACCUAGGCGACGAUCCCUAGCUGGUCUGAGAGGAUGACCAGCCACCCUGGAACUGAGACACGGUGCCGGCUCCUACGGGAGGCAGCAGUGGGGAAUAUUGCACAAUGGGGGGAGGCCUGAUGCAGCCAUGCCGCGUGUAUGAAGAGGGCCUUCGGGUUGUAAAGUACUUUCAGCGGGGAGGCGUUACCCGCAUAAGAAGCACCGGCUAACUCCGUGCCAGCAGCCGCGGUAAUAC